CCUACGGGAGGCAGCAGUGGGGAAUAUUGCACAAUGGGGGAAACCCUGAUGCAGCGACGCCGCGUGAGUGAAGAAGUACUUCGUUAUGUAAAGCUCUAUCAGCAGGGAAGAAAAUGACGGUACCUGAGUAAGAAGCCCCGGCUAACUACGUGCCAGCAGCCGCGGUAACACGGAGGGGGCAAGCGUUAUCCGGAUUUACUGGGUGUAAAGGGAGCGUAGACGGCAGGGCAAGUCUGGAGUGAAAGGCGGGGGCUCAACCCCCGGACUGCCCUGGAAACUGUACGGCUUGAGUGCAGGAGAGGUAAGUGGAAUGCGUGGUGUAGCGGUGAAAUGCGUAGAUAUUAGGAAGAACACCAGUGGCGAAGGCGGCUUACUGGACUGUAACUGACGUUGAGGCUCGAAAGCGUGGGGAGCAAACAGGAUUAGAUACCCGGGUAGUC
rnacentral:rRNA from 1 species